rnacentral:lncRNA from 10 species
CAGCCCUGUAGGAGACACCUCCAGAGAAAGUAACAGCUCUCAAUUGAUUAGCUGAGGAAGACACCAGACAAAUGAGUUACACUGUUUUGGACUCCCCAACACAACCCAGCCACCGGCUGAAUGCCACCAAAUUACCUUCUAGUUAAAGGUUUAUGGAGCAAACGAAUCACCUAUUCAAUAUCUGCUUGAAUUUCUGACUCAAAAUACAUCAGAAGCCUCAGGGGCUGGAUCCUGACAUGAACCAGACACCUCCAGAAUUCUAUCCCAAGCAAAAGAUUAUUUCAAGGCCAGAACUCACUCCCUGCUGGAGACUGACUACAAGAUCCACUGAGAUUGAUGUGUAACCUGAUUGGGCCCACAGUGAUGCUAGCCCCUUCACCAGAUGGAACAAUAAUUCCAGACAAGCCAUCAGAGCAGGUCACACCACUUGACACCUUCUCGCCCCCUUGCCUCUCCUGCAUUCCAAACCCCUCUCUUUAAAAUCCCCAUGUUCCCUCCGUAAACUGGGCAGUGCCAAUUGUUGGAAAGAAUUCUGGCACUCUUUUCCUUCUUAGCAUGGAUAAAAAGAUUCACCCUCUUUUUAUCACACCUCACUCUUGUUAUUUUGGCUUCUUUCUACAAGUGGUGAGCAACCGGGCCCCCUUUGCUGGUUAUAGUAUGAACUAUUUUAUUUUUUUUAAUCUACAAUAAAAUAAAAUACAUUCAUU